rnacentral:lncRNA from 1 species
UCCUAAAAUACCCUCGUUCAUAACAUCUUCUAUCACAAAUCUGUUGAUCCAUCCACAGCUGCUGCCAAUCCUCCACAUCCAAAAAAAAAUCAAUCCAGAUCGCCGGCCAAUCCAUCUUCCACGGCCAUCCACCACCACAGCCCCCAGCCGGCCAUCCACCACCACAGCCCCCAGCCGCCGCGCCUCCAUCUCCAUCAGCCGUCGCCAACAUCAACUAUCCCGUCGAUCCCCUUUGUUUCCAAAAAAAAGAUCAGCCGAUCCUGGUAGCCAGCAGCAGCGUCACCUCAACCGUAAACACGCCGCUGCCGCUACCCCACUACGCGCCGCCACCCCCACAGCCCGAUCCCCACCACCAUCUCGCGCAGCCACAACCCCGCUUUCGACCGCUGAGCCAACUCCCC